GCGGGUGUAGCUCAGUGGUAGAGUUCUGGCUUCCCAAGCCAGCUGCGUGGGUUCAAUUCCCAUCACCCGCUCCA
rnacentral:tRNA from 1 species